ACCCGCUGAACUUAAGCAUAUCAAUAAGCGGAGGAAAAGAAACCAACAGGGAUUGCCCUAGUAACGGCGAGUGAAGCGGCAACAGCUCAAAUUUGAAAUCUGGCUCUUUCAGAGUCCGAGUUGUAAUUUGCAGAGGGCGCUUUGGCUUUGGCAGCGGUCCAAGUUCCUUGGAACAGGACGUCACAGAGGGUGAGAAUCCCGUACGUGGUCGCUAGCUAUUGCCGUGUAAAGCCCCUUCGACGAGUCGAGUUGUUUGGGAAUGCAGCUCUAAAUGGGAGGUAAAUUUCUUCUAAAGCUAAAUAUUGGCCAGAGACCGAUAGCGCACAAGUAGAGUGAUCGAAAGAUGAAAAGCACUUUGGAAAGAGAGUCAAACAGCACGUGAAAUUGUUGAAAGGGAAGCGCUUGCAGCCAGACUUGCUUGCAGUUGCUCAUCCGGGCUUUUGCCCGGUGCACUCUUCUGUAGGCAGGCCAGCAUCAGUUUGGGCGGUGGGAUAAAGGUCUCUGUCACGUACCUCUCUUCGGGGAGGCCUUAUAGGGGAGACGACAUACCACCAGCCUAGACUGAGGUCCGCGCAUCUGCUAGGAUGCUGGCGUAAUGGCUGU
rnacentral:rRNA from 1 species